rnacentral:rRNA from 1 species
AGUGAACGCUGGCGGUAGGCCUAACACAUGCAAGUCGAACGGCAGCACAGUAAGAGCUUGCUCUUACGGGUGGCGAGUGGCGGACGGGUGGGGAAUACAUCGGAAUCUACUUUUUCGUGGGGGAUAACGUAGGGAAAGUUACGCUAAUACCGCAUACGCCCUACGGGUGAAAGCAGGGGAUCUUCGGAGCUUUCGCGAUUGAAGGAGCCGAUGUCGGGUUAGCUAGUUGGGGGGGUAAAGGCCCACCAAGGCGACGAUCCGUAGCUGGUCUGGGAGGAUGAUCAGCCACACUGGAACUGAGACACGGUCCAGACUCCUACGGGAGGCAGCAGUGGGGAAUAUUGGACAAUGGGCGCAAGCCUGAUCCAGCCAUGCCGCGUGGGUGAAGAAGGCCUUCGGGUUGUAAAGCCCUUCUGUUGGGAAAGAAAAGCAGCAGGUUAAUACCCCGCUGUUCUGACGGUACCCAAAGAAGAAGCACCGGCUAACUUCGUG